AACGAACGCUGGCGGCGUGCCUAAGACAUGCAAGUCGUGCGGAAAGGCUCCUUCGGGAGUACUCGAGCGGCGCACGGGUGAGUAACACGUGGGUAAUCUACCUGAGGGUCUGGGAUAACCCCGGGAAACUGGGGCUAAUACCGGAUGAGACCACGGCGUCCUCGGACGCAGCGGUCAAAGGUGGCCUCUCCUUGGAAGCUAUCGCCCGCAGAUGAGCCCGCGUCCCAUUAGCUAGUGGCGGGGUAACGGCCCACCAAGGCGACGAUGGGUAGCUGGUCUGAGAGGAUGGUCAGCCACACUGGGACUGAGAUACGGCCCAGACUCCUACGGGAGGCAGCAGUCGAGAGGCUUUGGCAAUGGGGGAAACCCUGACCAAGCGACGCCGCGUGGGGAUGAAGGCCCUUGGGUUGUAAACCCCUUUGUUGGGGAAGAAACGCGAUCAGUGAAUAUCUGGUCGUUUGACGGUACCCGACGAAUAAGCUCCGGCUAACUCCGUGCCAGCCGCCGCUGUAAG
rnacentral:rRNA from 1 species